GAGUGUGCGUGUGUGUAUAUACGAUCGAUCAAGGACAGAGGGUGAGGUGAAACCCUAGUUUCACCAAAAUCCAUCAAAUUGAAGGGGGAUUGAAGGGCUAAACUAAUGCAUGAACCAAGAUUUUCGAUCACUUUAGCGUUUCUACCAUCAUGAACGUGUCAAGGAGAGGUCAAGCAUAGGAGGAUAACGGGUCAAGAUAAGGCAAGGUGACAAAUACACUUAUUGGAGUACUCGAGGUAAGUGAAUUUCGAUUCACUUUUUAGUAGGUUUAAUAGAUUUUAAUACUUAUGUUUACGAAACAUCAUGAAAGAACAUGUAAUAAUCAGAAGUACAAAGCUAAUAAUGCCUCAUUAUUGAAGAAGGUUGUAUUUAAGCCGAAAGUAAAUUGGUGGGUUUAAACGGGUCGAAUUUUAUGUGCAUAUGUUGCGUAAUGUAAUGAAAUUCGUUAUGGUUAAGACCUUGGGUAAGAAUUUUUAGUCAUUAUGUAAGGGGAACAUUUCCCGGACCAUUAGGAACAAGUUUUAUAUGAUUCGGUUGUCGGUUAGUGAAUGAACGGAUUGUUUCGUGUUAGUGUAGGAAAUUUUAUAAGUAUAUGUGUAUAGGAAUCCAAAGGGCACGUGGGUUGAAUCAUAGAUUGUCUAUACUAUGUAAAGUUGUGAAUGUGACAUUCCGGCAUAAACCUACAUGUAAAAGAAGCUUGUGUAUAUAUUCGUGAUUAAUUGAUUGUGCGUAGGAAGGAACAUUGGCAUGUAUGAAGGUACGCAUGUAUAUAUAUAAGUGUAUAUAUAUAUAUAUGUAUGUAUGUAUGAUAAUAAGUACGUAGGUGUGAAUGUAUGUGUGAAUGAAUGUUCAAUGCUUAAGACAUAUGCAUGAACGUUAUCAAAGUGUUCGAGUAUUUAUGGUUACUAAUGAUGUGCGUUGAGUUGGAAUGUAAUGUAGGUAUGGGAUCGUUGGCUUCAUGAAGAGAUGGAGCUGGAUUUGGAUAAGAGUAUCGCUUGGGUUUUCUCUACAUUUAUUGAAGUGAAGCGGACUUAGUUCGAGUUGAGAGCAAGGAUUGUACGGGGUAGAAUGGUCACAUAGUGUAACUAAUAUAGGUUUUGAAGUAUUAAUGUUAUAAAACGUUAUAAAUCCGUUUUAAUGAAUAUAUGGCAUUUCGCAUUUGAACCUUCAUGUGUUUGAUAUGUCUAUUAAAGAACGAAAUUUUUGGGCUCU